rnacentral:rRNA from 1 species
CCGGGCAGUGCCGUAGCUAACGCGUUAAGUGUCCCGCCUGGGGAGUACGCACGCAAGUGUGAAACUCAGAGGAAUUGACGGGGGCCCGCACAAGCGGUGGAGUAUGUGGUUUAAUUCGAUGCAACGCGAAGAACCUUACCAGGGCUUGACAUGUCGCGAAUCCCCUUGAAAGGGGGGAGUGCCUUCGGGAGCGCGAGCACAGGUGGUGCAUGGCUGUCGUCAGCUCGUGUCGUGAGAUGUUGGGUUAAGUCCCGCAACGAGCGCAACCCACGUUUCUAGUUGCCAGCAUUCAGUUGGGCACUUUAGAGAGACUGCCGGUGACAAACCGGAGGAAGGUGUGGAUGACGUCAAGUCAGCAUGCCCCUUACGUCCUGGGCUACACACGUACUACAAUGCUUCGGACAGAGGGUUGCCAGCCCGCGAGGGUGCGCUAAUCCCGUAAACCGAGGCUCAGUUCAGAUUGCAGGCUGCAACUCGCCUGCAUGAAGGCGGAAUCGCUAGUAAUCGCCGGUCAGCAUACGGCGGUGAAUACGUUCCCGGGCCUUGUACACACCGCCCGUCACACCAUGGGAGUUGGCCACGCCCGAA